rnacentral:lncRNA from 1 species
UCAGCAGCAGCAGCAAAGGCAGCUAAGUACGGAGCUGGUGUUCCUGGCAUCGCUGGCGUUCCUGGCAUUGCCGGUGUUCCUGGAGUUCCUGGUGUUCCUGGUGUUCCUGGUGUUCCUGGAGUUCCCGGUGUUCCUGGUGUUCCUGGCGCUGUGCCCGGUGUUGGAGUGGGUGGCCCGGCAGCGGCGGCUGCAGCCAAGGCUGCGGCAAAAGCAGCGGCGAUCGGAGCAGGACGCGUGCCCGGCGUUGGCGUGCCCGGCGUUGGCGUGCCCGGCGUUGGCGUUCCCGGAGUGCGUGUGCCUGGAGUGGGUGUGCCUGGAGUGGGUGUGCCUGGUGCUGGCGUGCCCGGUUUGGUGCCCGGGGUCGGUGUUCCAGGAGGUCCGGCAGCCGCUGCCAAAGCCGCCGCCAAAGCAGCCAAGUACGGAGCAGGUGGCCUGGCUCCCGGCGUGGGUGGCCUGGCUCCCGGCGUGGGUGGCCUGGUUCCUGGAGUAGGUGGCCUGGUUCCUGGAGUAGGUGGCCUGGUUCCCGGUGUUGGAGGUGUCCCAGGUGUUGGAGGUCCAGCAGCAGCAGCCAAAGCAGCAGCCAAGGCAGCCAAAUUUGGUGCUGGGGCUGGAGGGGUGCCCGGUGUGGGCGGAGUGCCCGGAGUGACCCCCGGCGUUGGUGGCGUGCCCGGCUUGGUGCCAGGGGUGGGAGUACCUGGAACUGGCAUCCUUCCCGGGGCAGGCAUCCCCCAAGUAGGGGUGCAGCCCGGUGCUAAACCUCCCAAAUUCGGUGUUCCUGGGGUUGGAGUCCCAGGAGUUGGUGGCCUCCCAGGUGGCCUAGGAGUCGGUGGGCUCGGAGCUGGUGGCCUCGGGGUUGGAGUUCCCGGCUUCGGCGUAUCACCGAUAUUUCCAGGGAAGCCCCCCAAGCCCUACGGAGGAGCCCUGGGUGCCCUGGGCUUUAGAGGUGAGCGCGUUUCCCGGCUGGCAGGGCCGGUUGUGCCCCCGGCCGUGCCCCCGGCAGUGCGGGCUGCGGGGUGCGGGCUGCGGGGUGCGGGGUGCGGGCUGCGGGCAGGGCUCACCCCGCGUUCCGUGCAGGCGGAGCGGGCUGUGCGGCAGGGAAGUACUGCGGCAGGAAGCGGAAGUAACGCUCCGUCACCGAUCACCUCAUGAACUUUGGUGCUACUGCAUGGUCCAGAAUGUAAAUCCGAAGCAAAGCUGAGACACCCCCUCCUCAGGCCCCGGAACCCCCCCCCGUCCAUGCCGGGGCCGUGCCCGGCCCCGCGUUCCACGGAGGGACCCCGCGUUCCCCGGCAGCGUCCGGGGCCCCCCGGCCCUCGGUCCCGGCAGGGAGCGCGGAAUAAAGUGCGGGGAGCAGCCGUCCCCCUUGGUGCU